CGCGUAGGUGGUUUGUUAAGUUGGAGGUGAAAUCCCCGGGCUCAACCUGGGAACUGCCUCCAAAACUGACUGACUAGAGUACGGUAGAGGGUGGUGGAAUUUCCUGUGUAGCGGUGAAAUGCGUAGAUAUAGGAAGGAACACCAGUGGCGAAGGCGACCACCUGGACUGAUACUGACACUGAGGUGCGAAAGCGUGGGGAGCAAACA
rnacentral:rRNA from 1 species